UACAGAGGUCCCGAGCGUUGUUCGGAUUCAUUGGGCGUAAAGGGUGCGUAGGCGGCUUCCUAAGUUUGAUGUGAAAUCCUGGGCUCAACCCUGGAACUGCAUUGAAUACUGGGAGGCUAGAGUACUGGAGAGGAAACUGGAAUUACGGUGUAGCAGUGAAAUGCGUAGAGAUCGUAAGGAGGACCAGUGGCGAAGGCGAGUUUCUGGACAGUUACUGACGCUGAGGCACGAAGGCCAGGGAGCAAACGGG
rnacentral:rRNA from 1 species